GCUAAAAAUCUAGCUCUACCUCCUCACAUGUAAACUUCCCCCUAUUUUCACUAAACUAAAACAUUUCUACAGUUCAGUAAAGGAGAUUAAAAAACUUAUUGAAGCAAUAUAACUUGUACCGCAAGGGAAAGAUGAAAUAUUAAUGAAAAUCUUUAAGCAAAAAAUAGUAGAGCUUCUCCCUCGUACCUUUUGCAUCAUGGUUCAACUAGUCUAAUCAAGCAAAAAGCAUUGUAGUUUGACCCCCCGAAACUAGACGAGCUACUUCAGGGCAGCUUUAUGAGCCAACCCGUCUCUGUGGCAAAAGAGUGGGAAGACCCCUAAGUAGAGGUGAUAUACCUAACGAGUCUAGUGAUAGCUGGUUACUCGAGAAAAGGAUUUAAGUCCACCCUAAAGUCCACUUAAUAAACUAAAAUUCUCUGACUUUAGAGCAAUUCAAAUAAGGUACAGCCUAUUUGAAACAGGAAACAACCUCAUCAGACGGGUAAAGUUUUUUCUUGACCCCAAGUAGGCCUAAGAGCAGCCACCUUUUAAAAAGCGUCACAGCUUAGUCUCCCUAUUCCUCUAAUCCCUUACCACCAUUUUAACCCUCUCCCACUACCGAGUAAUCCUAUACUAUUAUAGAAUAUUUUAUGUUGAAACUAGUAAUAAGAAGAAAGACCUUCUCUUAAAUGCAAGUAUAAAUCAGAAAGGACAAACCACUGACAAUUAACGCCCAUGACCCCCUUUUAGCAACUUUCCUCCCAAGAAAACCCUAAUAACCACCCACGUUAACCUGACACAAGAGCAUUUCAAGAAAGAUUAAAAGGAAAAGAAGGAACUCGGCAAAUAUUGACCCCGCCUGUUUACCAAAAACAUCGCCUCUUGAAUAAAAAUAAGAGGUCCAGCCUGCCCAGUGACAAAUGUUCAACGGCCGCGGUAUCCUAACCGUGCAAAGGUAGCGUAAGCACU
rnacentral:rRNA from 1 species